UUUUCACUGGCGGCUACAAUUUGUUUUGCGGAAGCCUUAGUAACCGAAGUAGACGCGUGGCAUUGCGGGCACUAACGAGAAGUGGAACGAGAUAUUUAAAAAAAAAUAAUACUACAUAUUUUCCUUCAGACAUUUUUUCAAACCUGAUAGGCUAUUAUAGCAAUGUCGGUCUUCUCUGAAGGACGAUACCUUAAUUUGUUCUGCUAAAGUGGGUGUUUUUCGUGAAAGGAAUUUGGUGUUUAUCCCUGUCUAGACGAGUCAGGUAGUUUGGACGUGAUUCAAUAGCAAAGCGUGUAGUGAGUGAAAGCCAUUUACAGUUACUAUCAUUCACAGAACGGUGAUCAUAAACAAGUGCUGUUGUUGGAAUGUAGCUCUCCAUUUACUAAGUGCUAUGAGAACAGUUAAUAGUACAGGCGUGACGUAGUAAAAAGAGCAUAAAUUAGUAACCCUCAAUCCUGAAAUCCACUCAAUCAAGACCCACUCCAGGUCUUGUUUUGCCUGCCCGCUUUACACAAAAUCGUGUUGCGUAAAACAAGUAACAUUCACUUAGCUCCGUGCAGUACCAGUGAACAGCCAAACGAGAAGUGAAGCAACAAAACGGUCAAUCAUUAUGGAAUUAAUCACGAGCAAGAAUGUUAACAAAAUGACCAGCUGGUCAACCAACAGCGCCCUUCGUACGCUCCCAGCCAUUAAUAGCUCGGGAAGAAAUAGAGUCAGUAAUUACCCAGCCAUUAACUACCGAUGUACUUCUGCUGCCUCGGUCACGUAGAAGAACCGCCAAAUGCCCCAUGGACGCACCCCUAGCACAGCGUUUGCAAUCAAUUUUCGCGCGGCGUGUUCGCAAUGCUCGGAGCCGUCUCGCCAGAUUCCUUCGACACGCUGCACCCGUACAGCAACACCUUCCAGAUGCCGUUCGUGACGCCCUGGUUCCCGGAGAAGGUCCUCACGCCCUCGUCCGGCUUUCUCGACUUUGCCAUCAGCAUGCGGCCCGACCACUACCAGGCCAUCAUCGAUACGGUGCGCUACUAUGGCUGGGAUCGGAUCAUCUACAUGUACGACUCGCAUGACGGCUUGCUGCGGCUGCAACAAAUCUAUCAGGGACUGCGGCCGGGGAACGAAACCUUCCACGUCGAGACGGUCAAGCGGAUAGCGAACGUAAGCGAUGCGAUUGAGUUUCUGCGCACCAUCGAGGAGCUGAACCGGUGGUCCCGGAAGCACAUCGUCCUCGACUGUAGCACCGAGCUGGCCAAGGACAUCGUGGUCAGUCACGUCCGGGACAUCACGCUCGGCAAACGCACCUACCACUAUCUGCUGAGUGGGUUGGUGAUGGAUGAUCGCUGGGAGAGUGAAGUUAUCGAGUACGGUGCAAUCAAUAUCACCGGCUUCCGGAUCGUCGAUACGAGCAAAAAGUACGUCAAGGAGUUUCUUGAUGGAUGGAAGCGAUUAGAUCCGACCACAUCGCAGGGCGCCGGCAAGGAGCUGAUCUCGGCCCAGGCCGCCCUCAUGUACGAUGCCGUGUUCGUGCUGGUGGAAGCGUUCUCCAAGAUUAUGCGCAAAAAGCCGGACCAGUUCCGGGCGUACACGAUGCGCAAUCGGGGCCAGCCGUUUAAUCUGCCCGCCAACGGGACACGAACGCUCGACUGCAACACCUCCAAGGGUUGGGUCACCCCGUGGGAGCAUGGUGAUAAAAUUUCACGCUAUCUGCGCAAGGUGGAAAUAUCGGGCCUUACCGGCGAUAUUAGGUUCAACGAGGACGGCAAACGCCAAAACUACACCCUGCACGUGGUCGAGAUGACGGUCAACAGUGCGAUGGUGAAGGUGGCCGAGUGGUCGGACGAGGGCGGACUGGCGCCGGUCGUUGCCAAGUACACCCGCCUCAAGACGGACAUGCAUUACGAGCGGAACAAGACCUACAUCGUGACGACCAUCAUCGAGGAGCCGUACAUCAUGCUGCGGCAGCCGGAACCGGGCGAAACGCUCGAGACGAACGAGCGCUUCGAGGGCUACUGCAAGGAUCUGGCCGAGCUGGUGGCGAAAAAACUCGGCAUCAACUUUUCUUUUCAAAUCAAAGGCUUCAAGGAGUGUGCUGUAUCUCUGGGAUCCCUUGCCACGCUGUCAAAUUGAACGUUUAGCUUCAACCGAAAACCUCGUCGUGAAAGGUUACUGAGGCGUCAUUAUGAUAAACUGCCGGUCAAACAGAUGUUAAACAUGCAUAGCUGCCUCUACACACUCUUCAAAGAGAUCUUGGUAAACAUUCGCGGUGAUCACACAUAAACAAAGACCAGCAAUCCAUCAGAUAUCUGCGCUUGCGGCGGUGUUGCAGCUUCCUUGAUCAACUUGACGACGAAAUGUCAUCAAACAACACGAACGCCAAGCGGUUUGAUGGAUCCUUCUAAAGACCAAUUCUCCAAACUCCCUAUCCUACGCUAAUGCAGUCUUUGUGCUGCUGCUCUCACGCUUCUCUUCCAGGUCCGCGUGCUAGCCAGCUACGUCGGUGUCAGAGCAUCGAUGUCCUGUACAUAGUGUCACGCUUUUCACCCUUCGAAUGGCGGCUAGUUAAUUAUAACGACGAACAACCGGACGCAGUGCCACAGGCGACGGCAAAUGAGUUUAGCGCAC